GAGCAACUCAUCCGCUUAGAGCUUAUAUCCAUUGCAAACCCUAGACCCCAUUCAUCUCUCUCUCUCUCUCUCUCUCUCUCUCUCUCUCUCUCGAUCAUGCCUCCGAGCAACCAAGUAUUGUGUGUUAAGUGUCGACUUCUCUAGCCCACCACACAACCGUUCCUUCACAAUUCACCAUAGCAGUCCACCUCCAUCCAUCAUCCACAAACACACCUCCUCCUUUGAUGGGCAAGAAGCGACACAUGGACUGGACCUCAAAGUCACUUGUUUCAUCUGGUGGCGAGAGAGUCUCUUUUUUGAAUAAGGAGGUGGUUUGAUAUAACUCAAAUUCCUGAUGUCUAUAAUUCGUGCAAAGUAUUGUGAAAAGUAUGCAAGAUGUGGUAGCUGCCAAGCCCAGGAGGAUAAUUGUUAUUUUUUGAAUUGAUGUAAUCAUGUAAAUACUUUAUGCACCCACUUAUAGUUUUUAAUUUUUUUUUAUAUUUUAUUUUCUAAGUAAUUUAUGCUACAGCCUAUGUUAUAGUGUUAUUUCAAUUUCAUAUUUAAGAGCUAUGUUUUUAUUUAGAGCUUUUGAUGUAAAUUACUAAUAUGAAUCCUAGUCUCCUACUCUUCUAGUUCUAAUCUUUUACUAUUAUUUUUUUGAAGACCUUUCCAUUUUCAAUUUCUGAAACUUUUAUAAUUUUUAAUUUUCAUUAUCUAUGCUUGUGAAUUGUUUUUUUC